GAUAAGAUUUCCCACCGUAAGGGUAAGACCCCAGGAAGACUACCUGGUUGAUAGGUCGGAGGUGGAAGUGCAGUAAUGUAUGUAGCUUACCGAUACUAAUAGGUCGAGGACUUGACCAAAUU
rnacentral:rRNA from 1 species